AGAGACCGGCGCACGGGUGCGUAACGCGUAUGCAAUCUACCUUUCACAGAGGGAUAGCCCAGAGAAAUUUGGAUUAAUACCUCAUAGUAUAUCGAGUUGGCAUCAACAUGAUAUUAAAGUCACAACGGUGAAAGAUGAGCAUGCGUCCCAUUAGCUAGUUGGUAAGGUAACGGCUUACCAAGGCAACGAUGGGUAGGGGUCCUGAGAGGGAGAUCCCCCACACUGGUACUGAGACACGGACCAGACUCCUACGGGAGGCAGCAGUGAGGAAUAUUGGUCAAUGGACGCAAGUCUGAACCAGCCAUGCCGCGUACAGGAUGACGGUCCUAUGGAUUGUAAACUGCUUUUGUACAGGAAGAAACACUCCCUCGUGAGGGAGCUUGACGGUACUGUAAGAAUAAGGAUCGGCUAACUCCGUGCCAGCAGCCGCGGUAAUACGGAGGAUCCAAGCGUUAUCCGGAAUCAUUGGGUUUAAAGGGUCCGUAGGCGGUUUAGUAAGUCAGUGGUGAAAGCCCAUCGCUCAACGGUGGA
rnacentral:rRNA from 1 species